CAUUGUUACAGCACUCACUCCCUCUUCUCCCCCCUUAUAUUGAAGGCUCCCUCAAACUCCACUUUCCUCUCCACGAGAGAGAGAGAGAGAGAGAGAGAGAGAGUUUUGAAGGAAGAAAUUAGUGUUGCGUUGGUUUCAUAUAUACUGCAACUAGAGGAAGCAUCCAAAGGGAUCGCAUUGAUCCCAACUAGCCAUCUCUUCCAUGGUUUAAUUUGGAUCAUGCUAUCCCUUUGGAUAUCUCCUUUGGCAGCUUCAAACUUUUAGAUAUAUAUAUAUAUAUAUCAUGCGCAUCAACAACUAUAGAUAAUCAAGGAGUUCAUCCGAUUGACUCCGCGAUUUCUUGCCUUUGAGUCUAGCUAUGGCUUUUUGCUUGGCAAGAACAUGAAGGAAAAAAAAAAACAUGCACCUCAAACAUUCAAGUCUAGUUGGGUUUGUAAACUGAUUUGUGUUGUCCUUGAGCUAGUAAUUUUAAUUUGAAGGUAUAUGAACACGUUGGAUCUGAUUUCCAUGGGGAUGCAUCUGGGCGCUCAAACCCAGAAAUCUUAAUCUCCUUCUUUACAGUUGUAAUGGAUGUUAAUUUUAUUUGCAUACAGUGUGUGAGUGUGAGUGUGAGUGUGUUUGCGCUUGUAAACAACGAUAGGUUAAAACUUAAAACCCAACCAAGGAAAUUAAUAAUAGAUUACAUAUCUAUGGUGAAGAUAUACGAAUGUUAAAUUCUGCAGUCAGUAUCUAUUUUCUCAAGCAACAUAUAUGCAGGUGGCUUUGAUUAAACCAGAAGGAUCUUUUGCAACUUUUUUACUCAAACACCUGUAUAAAGCGAAACAUAAAAGAAGGUUGCAUAUUAAAAAUUUGUAGUAAAAUUUUGAUGUUCGUGUUCAUGAGUCAUGAUUAACAGAUAAUUAGUGGAAGCUAGCUAGCUAGCUAGGUGAACAUUGCAACUAAAACAGUGCCAUAUGAUAAUAAUUUCUACAUGUGUCUUGGGUUACAAUUUACCCCAUUUUCUGAAACUUUUGAUGAUUGCCUGCGUCUCAACAAUUUGAUCAUUUUCAAUUUUUUGACCUUCUGUAAAGGUAACUUUAUUAUAGAAAUAGUAUGAGACUAAUUACCUCUGUAUUUAGCAUCGGUGGGAGAGGCUCGGGAUCCAUUUUCAAUUAGCAUGAACCAAGUUUUGCUGACUCUAUUUUAUGCUUGUCGCAACAGAACAGACUAGCUAACAUGGCCACACAUUGCUAUGGCCCAAAGUCAAGUCUCCAAAUCACAUGCUUUUGAAGACUUUAAUUAGAAUCCAAGGCAGUGGAAGAUGAGAUAUAUAUAUAUAAACUUAGAGAGACUUCCUUUUUUUCUCCCACUCUGGGCCUCACAUUGAGUGUACCGAAGGCAAAGGCAAAGGCAAAGGCAUCAUACACAUGUGAUGAGACCUUAAUUAAGAAAAAGUCCUUUUAAUUAGCCGUUGAUCUCAUUUGAAAUAAAGGGUCAUUUUGUUAUACCUCAUACAUAUGCCACAUGACCCCAACAUUCUAACACUCUCCUUUUGUCACAUGGCCACGACCUUCCACCAUCUCACUUUCCUUAAUUAAUUAAUAUUAAUUGAGUAAAUGUACUUAAAAUACGCGUGCGUCGAUUACAUACAUUUCUCUCACACACAUGUAUGUAGAAUUUACGAUUAAAUUGUUAAUUUUACCCUGUGUAAAUUGUAA